UAACCAUUACCGUUUGUAUGUCUAUUAUCUAUGAUCAUAACCAUAUUUCAACAUGAUUUCAAUCAAAUUAUACAAGUUAUACAAUUAUAAUUAUAACUAUAACAAUAAUCAGCACUUAGAACAAUUUGCCUAUGGAAGAAAACUUCUUACUAAACAGUACCAUUAGAACAUUUUGGAUAUCAUUUUAGACAUAAAGAAAGUAAUUCCAACUAUUCCCUAUGGGAUCGUCUCUCAAGUGUUUUGGGUUGUUGACUGUGGAGGUGGAUACUGCAAUGUCGUCAAGUUAAGAAAUCCAGAACUGCUCUUUCCAAUUCAUGGGUACUUCAUUGGAAAGGUAGGGUUGCUUUUGUUGCUUUUUCUUUAAAUUUAAAAUUAAUUUCUCUAUUAUUAAACAUGCUAAAAAUACCCAAAUGUAUUAAUUCUGCUGUGAGGUAUUAGUAAAAAUUAGCAGUGUGCACUUUCAGCCCCCAAUU